CCCAAAAAUAACGUCUCAGUUCGGAUUGUAGUCUGCAACUCGACUACAUGAAGCUGGAAUCGCUAGUAAUCGCGAAUCAGAAUGUCGCGGUGAAUACGUUCCCGGGUCUUGUACACACCGCCCGUCACACCAUGGGAGUUGGAAAUGCCCGAAGUCAGUGACCCAACCGCAAGGAGGGAGCUGCCGAAGGCAGGUUCGAUAACUGGGGUGAAGUCGUAACAAGGUAGCCGUAUCGGAAGGUGCGGCUGGAUCACCUCCUUU
rnacentral:ncRNA from 1 species